UGGGGAAUAUUGCACAAUGGGCGCAAGCCUGAUGCAGCCAUGCCGCGUGUAUGAAGAAGGCCUUCGGGUUGUAAAGUACUUUCAGCGGGGAGGAAGGGAGUAAAGUUAAUACCUUUGCUCAUUGACGUUACCCGCAGAAGAAGCACCGGCUAACUCCGUGCCAGCAGCCGCGGUAAUACGGAGGGUGCAAGCGUUAAUCGGAAUUACUGGGCGUAAAGCGCACGCAGGCGGUUUGUUAAGUCAGAUGUGAAAUCCCCGGGCUCAACCUGGGAACUGCAUCUGAGACUGGCAAGCUUGAGUCUCGUAGAGGGGGGUAGAAUUCCAGGUGUAGCGGUGAAAUGCGUAGAGAUCUGGAGGAAUACCGGUGGCGAAGGCGGCCCCCUGGACAAAGACUGACGCUCAGGUGCGAAAGCGUAGGGAGCAAACAGG
rnacentral:rRNA from 1 species